GACGAACGCUGGCGGCGUGCCUAAUACAUGCAAGUCGAACGCAGUGGGAACGGGUGAGUAACACGUGGGUAACAUCCCAUCAGAGGGGAUAACACUUGGAAACAGGUGCUAAACCGAUACUGAUUGAUGGACCCGCUGUGCAUUAGCUAGUUGGUGGGGUAACGGCUCACCUAGGCGGCGAUCCCUAGCUGGUUGGAGAGGAUGACCAGCCACACUGGAACUGAGACACGGUCCAGACGCCUACGGGAGGCAGCAGUGGGGAAUAUUGGACAAUGGGCGCAAGCCUGAGACAGCCAUGCCACGUGUGUGAUGAAGGCCUUCGGGUUGUAAAGCACUUUCAGCGGGGAGGCGUUACCCGCAGAAGAAGCACCGGCUAACUCCGUGCCAGCAGCCGCGGUAAUUC
rnacentral:rRNA from 1 species